rnacentral:rRNA from 1 species
CCUACGGGAGGCAGCAGUGAGGAAUAUUGGUCAAUGGGCGGAAGCCUGAACCAGCCAAGUCGCGUGAGGGAAUAAGGCCCUACGGGUCGUAAACCUCUUUUGCCGGGGAGCAAGGGCGGGGACGUGUCCCGGCCCGGAGAGUACCCGGAGAAAAAGCAUCGGCGAACUCCGUGCCAGCAGCCGCGGUAAUACGGAGGAUGCGAGCGUUAUCCGGAUUGAUUGGGUGUAAAGGGGGCGUAGGCGGGCUUUUAAGUCAGCGGUAAAAAUUCGGGGCUCAACCCCGUCCGGCCGUUGAAACUGGGGGCCUUGAGUGGGCGAGAAGCAGGCGGAAUGCGUGGUGUAGCGGU